rnacentral:rRNA from 1 species
UACGAAGGGGCUAGCGUUGCUCGGAAUUACUGGGCGUAAAGCGCACGUAGGCGGAUUGUUAAGUCGGGGGUGAAAUCCUGGAGCUCAACUCCAGAACUGCCUUCGAUACUGGCGAUCUCGAGUCGGGAGAGGUGAGUGGAACUGCGAGUGUAGAGGUGAAAUUCGUAGAUAUUCGCAAGAACACCAGUGGCGAAGGCGGCUCACUGGCCCGAUACUGACGCUGAGGUGCGAAAGCGUGGGGAGCAAACAGG